GACGAACGCUGGCGGCGUGCUUAACACAUGCAAGUCGAACGGAAAGUCCCUGCUUUUGUGGGGUGCUCGAGUGGCGAACGGGUGAGUAACACGUGAGUAACCUGCCCUUGUCUCUGGUAUAUCUUCAGGAAUCUGGGGCUAAUUCCCGAUAGGAGCUCCUGCUGCAUGGUGGGUGUUGCAUAGUUGCGGCGGUUGGGGAUGGACUCGCGGCUUAUGGGUUUGUUGGUGGGGUAGUGGCUUACGAAGGCUUUGACGGGUAGCCGGCCUGAGAGGGUGACCGGCGACAUUGGGACUGAGGUAGGGACCAGUCUCCAAUGGGAGGCAGCGGUGGGGAGUAUUGCACAAUGGGGGAAAGCGUGAUGCAACAGCGCUGCGUGCGGGAUAACGUCCUGCGGGUGGUAAACGGCUUUCGCCUGUGACGAAGAGUGAGUGACGGUAAUGGGUAAGAAAGCACCGGCUAACUACGUG
rnacentral:rRNA from 1 species